UUGCUCACUUUGGCAGCACGUAUACUAAAAUUGGAAUAGUACAGAGAAGAUUAGCAUGGCUCCUGCACAGGAUGACACGUCAAGUGUGCAUGCUGUCUCUCUCUCU
ensembl:snRNA U6 U6 spliceosomal RNA